AUUUUGAGCCAUUACUCAGCGCAAAGGCCAGGGACAAUCUCUAGGUCUGUCCACAUUUGCAAAAGGCUCAGUUCAAGAGAGGCUGGGCAUUUUCAUGUGAGAUUCCUGAUUCCAGUAAUUAUUGGCAACUGAUCAGAAAGAAUGGAGUGACUGAAGGGAGGCUGCAGAGUUUUCAUCAACCUUUGACCACCCCCGAUGGCCAUUUACCUUCACUGGAGUUUGUGGCACUCUCGUCAUCGUCUCAUCUGAUCCUUACAGUCGCCUGUGCAGCAGUGUUUCCACGUUUUCAGAAGUGGUUGGGAGAAGUGACGUGCUGAGUUCGAGGUCCACGAGCAUAUGCCUGGGAGUAGAAUGCUCAUUCGGAUGACUUUCCAAGUUUCACCUUCGAGGGACUGCUGGACUCUACCAUCUCCCAUCCUCCCAGCGGUGUCUGAGGAUUCUUAUCUCCCCACAUCCUACCCUAGUCUCAUCUGGUACCACUCUGCUCCUGGGUCUCCAGGCUCUAACCUCUGACGCCUGUAGGAUUUUCCCGGACCAGGGAUCAAACCCAUGUCCCCUGCAUUGACAGGCAGAUUCCUUACCAGUGAGCCACCAAGACCACCAAAUGGAAGAUCUUAAAGGUGCCUGUGAUUCUAACCUUAAUCAGACCCAGUGUCUCAUUGUCUAUCCUGAAAUGAAAUUCACAAAUAGUAUAACCUGCUUAUAGAGUGAAAACACAUAGAGGUAAUUCUCAAACUCUAAAACAGAGGAGAAUAAGUGAAAAGUAAUUUAUAAGAAAGUUAUAUGUAUUAUAGUGCUGGAAGUCCCAGUGAAGUAGCCAGGGGCUUGAACUGAACAGGUGGACGCUCUGUGAAGGUGACGGCUGCACACGCAGGUAGAGCGAGGUGUGGGGUGUUGACCCCUCGUGUGCCACCAGCACGGUGAGUGGAGAUGCUGCCAGUACUGAUGCUCCAGAAGAAUGACCAAUGGGAGCGCCCACGCAGAGUCCAGCUCAGUCUUCUCUCAGUUUACACGGUCGCUGCGUUUCAGGAAAGUACAGUGUGUGUUUAAACCAAGCAAAAACCAGUCUGUGUUUAAAUGUAAAAUAGAGUUGUUUUCUAGGUUGACCGAACUGUUCCUGGGAAGAACCACCAGGAUAUACUCUUGCCUCGGGCUGAAACGUUCUUCCUCCACCCUUUGACCACGUGCUUCACCUAUUCUUGUUUUAAAAAAUAUUUAUUUAUGUAUUUGGCUGUGUUAGGUCUUAGCUGAGGCACACAAGAUCUUCGCUGCAACCUGCUGGAUCUUUUGUUGCGGUGCACGGACUUGCUAGCUGUGGCACGUGGGCUUAGCUGCUCUGUAGCACGUGGGAUCCUAGUUCCCUGACCAGGGACUGAACCUGAGUCCCCUACAUUGCCAAGCAAAUUCUUAACCACCAGACCACCAGGGAAGUCCCUCAAGUCCAACUUGGAAGGUGCUUCCUCAAGAGAACCUUUCUAGCUUCUGCUACUUCUUCACUGUAUUUAACAUAUUUAAGACCAUUUGCAAGUGUACAUUUAUCCGUUCUCUUUCUGUUCAUGUCCGCCUCUCAGCUGGACUCGAACUCCAUGAGGUCUGGACUUGAGACUUUCCUAUCAUUGUAUCCCCAGCCCUUAACUCGUGCCUGGUAUGCAAAUAUCUGCUGCACGAAUACAAUAGUGCUCCUGUCUGCCUCCUUUGUUGUCCUGGGACUUCUUAGAAGACAUUAUUGUGCCAAAUUUAUCUGUGUCCUCAGUGCUAAAGAUAGUUCUUCCUUUUAUGUGGAAAACAGUGGUCAAAUAUUUAAUGAGCAAAUAAAAGCAAAAGCACAAUUGGGCUUCCAACGUCCUAAUGAAUGAGCUGAGGACACAGUACAAGGUGUUUUGGUAAAUCCUCCAGAAAGUGCCGUCAUC
ensembl:lncRNA